rnacentral:lncRNA from 1 species
GUCCCCACUGGUGCUACAGACGGCCAGAUAGACCAUAACUCUCUAUAUAAAUGGGCAGAUAGACCAUAACUCUCUAUAUAAAUGGGCAGAUAGACCAUAACUCUCUAUAUAAAUGGGCAGAUAGACCAUAACUCUCUAUAUAAAUGAACAGACAGGCAGAUAGACCAUAACUCUCUAUAUAAAUGGGCAGAUAGACCAUAGAUCUCUAUAUAAAUGAACAGACAGGCAGAUAGACCAUAACUCUCUAUAUAAAUGGGCAGAUAGACCAUAACUCUCUAUAUAAAUGAACAAAACAGGCAGAUAGACCAUAACUCUCUAUAUAAAUGAAUAUGUUAUAGGGUCCGGUCCAUUCUAUAUACACUAGACAGUGGUUGUUAUAGGGUCUGGUCCAUUCUAUAUACACUAGACAGUGGUUGUUAUAGGGUCCGGUCCAUUCUAUAUACACUAGACAGUGGUUGUUAUAGGGUCCGGUCCAUUCUAUAUACACUAGACAGCGAUUGUUAUAG